CCCAGCUGCAUGCUCCUUCUCUGAGCUCCUAGAGCCCUUUCUGUCUUUGCCAUUCACUAGGUACUUAGGAUCCACAACAGCUCACUCAUUUCUUUUGGUUUGUGGAGCAGAAGGAGCUCAGGGAUGAGAGUUAGAGGACAUGAGUUCCCCUUGGCCACAUUUGACUGGGUGACUUUGGGCAAGCCUAUUUAUCAUUCGGAAUUCCAGGUUUCUGGUCAGCAAGAUGGAGAUGAUUAAAGCUGCCCUACCUGCCUCACAGGUCUCUUAGGAAGAUAAUGGAGAUAAUGUACAUUGAAUGCUUUGUGAACGCUUAAAGAAAUUAACUCAGACUAUUCACUGGAAGGACAAACACUGAAGCUGAAGCUUAAAUACUCUAGCAACAUAAUGAGAAGACAGGACUCAUGGGAAAGGACAUUUCCAUGAUGCUGGGAAAUAUUGAAGGGAAAAGGAGAAGGGAAUGGCAGGGGAUGAGAUGGAGAGAUAGUGUCGGGGAACCAGUGAAUAUGAGCUUCAAGAGAGGAUAAAUGGAGGAUAAAAGGUCCUGGCAUAUGGCCCUUUGGGGUUCAUGGGAUCACAAAAAUGGUCUAUGGGAUCACAAAGGGUCAGGGAUGACCAAAUGCCUGAACCACAGCAACAAACCUUCAAAGACUUUGUUCGUGUGAGCAGUUAUUAUUUUCUGUCUGAUAUUGUUAUCAAACUUUCUACGGGCGAAUCUCAUCUCCUCUGACUCUGCUCUACCUCUACCUCCCCAGACUGUCAGUUCUAUGAGGGCAGGUCUUGUCUUCUCCUUUAAGAGCAUCUUCAAGUUGCCUUUCCUGCCUGAUAUGCCGCCCAUUGGUAUUCUGAGUCUUCUCAGAAUAUAUUCUUGGGUCUUCUCAGAGAUGCUCACGUGGUCCGAAAAGCCCUUUGCUCCACACAGGAAGGGCUUGUUCUCCUGGCCCUCUGAGCUUAUUCUCUGGAUCUUAGCAUCAUGGAGUGUCAGAGCUAGAGAAGACUUCUGAAGACAUCAGGUGCCAACUGCUUGCAGGUAGGAUGCCAAAUCCCCUUUCCCUUGGUUGACACUAAGGUUGAGAGUAGCUUCCUU
rnacentral:lncRNA from 1 species